rnacentral:rRNA from 1 species
UACGGAGGGUGCGAGCGUUAAUCGGAAUCGCUGGGCGUAAAGCGCGCGUAGGCGGCUCUUCAAGUCAGGGGUGAAAUCCCACGGCCCAACCGUGGAACUGCCUUUGAAACUGUAGAGCUUGAGUGUCGGAGAGGGUGGCGGAAUUCCAGGUGUAGGAGUGAAAUCCGUAGAUAUCUGGAGGAACACCGGUGGCGAAGGCGGCCACCUGGACGACAACUGACGCUGAGGUGCGAAAGCGUGGGUAGCAAACAGG